AGUUCAUCUUGAGCUUGGGGAAAUUCCAUAUUCACAAAAACAAAUGGGCCAAAUCUAAGCCAAACAUUGCACCCUUCAAAAAUGAACUGCUCCGUUAUGCUGCCACGAUCAAGGAUAUUAAGAACAAGAAAGCUACCAAAACAUACUCUAUAAUGAAGAAAUUCUGUACCAUUGAACUGUAAGUCCUCUGGCUGUUGUAUGGUUGUGUUUUGUUUUCUGUUUUUGUCGUUAUUGUUGUGAUGUGUCUCUCGUUGGUUGUACUGUCUGUCUUGUUCAAUAAAAAAAAAAAAAAGCUGCAGCGCAAAGAUGGCGGACCCAAAGAUGAAAAAACGCGAUGAAAAAACGCAAUAAAUUUCCGCAUUACCUCCGAUUGGCGGACCCAAAACAAUUACUUCCGGUGGAUAGGCUUUCUCGUUGGCGGACUUCCGGUGCCGAAAUGCUUCAGGUAGUCGGAUUUAGUCGCCGGAUCCUUUUUUUUUCGCUCCGUUCAUUCCAUAAGAAUCGAAUUAAAUUUAUUAUUAAGCUAAAAAUCAAAAUAAAACGUUUAUGUAUUAAUUAUGACUACUGUUUUGUUCUGAUUUAAUUCUGAAAUUUACAGUAAUAUGUAUACAUAGACUAAUGUCCUCAUAUUCUGAUAAUUUGUCAGAAUAGGUAAAUGUAUGUAGAAGUUAUCAUCUUACUCAAAUUCUUUUGUAAGAGUUUGCUACAAGUAUGGACUGUUUUAACCUCUCGUUACAAAUCAUAUAAGAGUGUUUUCUAACUUCUCUCUCCAAUAGCUUUAUUACACAGCACAUCAAUGUUUCUUAACUUCUCUGUGACCUUGUUUCUCCACUCCUAUUAGGACCUCGUUUAAUGUCAACAAUGUUGCCCUGACCCUCACAUAUUUUCUGUUGUUCAUAAUUAUGUUUUAUGAGAGUGCUUAUGUUGCUGCACAUAUUUUUCCCCCCAUCCUUUAGUAACAUUGUGUAACCAGGGACAUGAUUUAUGAAAUGGUGUGCUUCCUGGUGAACCUCUUCAGGAUUGCUUGACUGUGCAAAAUCCAAGUAUACAAUAGUUGUAGAGACACAAGUCACAUGAUCUCUUUAAGGUUCAGAAGAGCCAUAUAGCAAAAACAAUUGAAUAGCGAUAUCAUUACAGACUGUGUAAAGAAAUGGGAAAUUGUCAUACAACUGCUUUGAAGAUUUCUUUAAUGUUUUCCAAACAAAAUUGUGAACAGUAAAAAAAAUAUAUAUAUAUACAAAAUUCAGAGCACUGCCGUCGGUGUGGUGGGGGGCUUAAAAUACGUUGCCACAGGCCAUCAUCAGCUCUGCUCUUAACCGGGUGAUGCCAUGCUCCUGAAGUGCUUUGAUCAAAAGCUGAAAUACAGUCAAAUAAUGUGAACAAUUGAAGUUAUGCAGUAUGGGUUAAUUGUUGUUCUUGAGCUUUCCAAAUGAAUAAGAACAACCUCUUAACAAUAUCAUCAAUUUUCAAAGCAAGCUAUAUAGUUUGAUCUACUCACCUCUGGGAGCAUGACAUCAAAAACGAAAUCAAGCAGAUGAAUCUCGCCUCUCUUUAUUUUUUUAGAAAUGGUUGUUGCCUCCUCAAUGAACCGCAGGAGCUCGAACAUCUAUUGAAGAAAAACACACAAAGUAAACACCUUUCAAAUGUAACACCUCUGAGAGUAAAAAUACUCAUGAUGGAUGGCAUUUUUACUUACGCGCUGCUCACUCCAACUUAAUGUCCUUAUCUUAAGGUGCUGCUUUAGUCGGAGUGAGGUGGCGGGAUUCCUCCAAAGGAACAUUCUAUUGGAGCGGAUCUUUCCAGACAGUAGAUCAUCAUGUAAUGUCUGAAACCAAAGAGCAAGAGACAAAAAUGUAAUCAUCUGAAAAAGAAACGGUGGCUUUAACAACUGAUAGUGCAUUCAAAAGCAACCUUGAUCUGUGUCUUAGAAAAGACAGCAUGAAUUCCUCCACUGUCAACAGCAUCCUUGAUCCUGCAGAGAAAUAAGAAAAAGAGCAAGCCCUCAUUUUUUCAUCCUUUGAGCCUCGUAUUUUUGACUGAUACUAUGUUUCCUUGAUAAAUUAUGUUAUACCGAGGAUGCUCAAUGGAGUCCUCGCACCUGCAGUCAAACGGCUCAAUUUCAAUCCCAGCACAAUCCUGAUGCAGCCAGCCCCUGCACGUCUUGCACUGGACCCAUUUCAUGAAGUUUACCUCAGGGUAAAGCAAUCUGAUCAAAUGAGAGACAAACAUAAUAUUAAACAAACACGCUGUCCAAUUGAUUAUACCUCUGCAGCACAUUUGAAUGUAUAAAUAAUUUUCCCUCAUGAUUCGUGCAUUUAAACUAUAUGUAAAAGUGGUCACUUCAUGGAAAAUCACUGAAUAGGCCCCGAUAAUUGCAUUUAUUAAAUUGAGUCUGCAACACACCUCUCUCCUGUGUUGUUCGAUGUCUGGUAGACACAGAAUUGCAUUGAAUCUGCCAUGCACAUUCUUUGGACAUCCGAUGCCAUCUGCGUCAUGGUUUCCUUGACAAGGCAAUUUGAAAAGUAACAUCAAUUACCAAAUACAUCGAGACAAUGUGUCCAUGUAGAUUCUCAUUCAUCCAGGUCAUGGUUAUCUUGAAGACUUAAAACAGGCAACUGGACAGUGUAGAGUUGAGAAGACGUUUCGCCUCUUAUCCAAGAAGCUUCUUCAGUUCUAAAAGUGCUAGUGUCAGGAGCAGAUAUUUAUCUUACUGGAGAAAGGGGGACAGGGGGACACACACCCAGAGAUGGGUUUCUAUGACCCAUUCUUUUCAACUCCACCCAGUCGUUAACUGUCCCCCUUCUCCAGUAAGGUAAAUAUCUGCUCCUGACACUAGCACUUUUAGAACUGAAGAAGCUUCUUGGAUAAGAGGCGAAACGUCUUCUCAACUCUACACAGUCCAGUUGCCUGUUUUAAGUCUUCAAGACAUCGAGACAAUGUUGAUCCAUACAACUGUGUGCAUUUUGAAGGACUCCCACUGAGAUAAUACUGUUUUUAGAAGGCAAUUUUCUAACCUCUGUGUCCUGCUGCUCUGCCUUCCUCUUUAGACUGAAGACCGGAGUAUGUUUUCCAGCAAUGAGCUCUUGACAUUCUUUGGUCCAGUGGGCGAAGAUUUUCCCACAACUGUAAUGACAAUAUAUCUUUAAGUACAAUAUAUUGAUUGUCUUCCAGUUAAUUAGGGCAUCUAGUUUACUUAAACUGUCUACCUGUUCAAAGAAUUGUUCUCC
rnacentral:lncRNA from 1 species